CGGGGUGAGUAAUGUCUGGGAAACUGCCUGAUGGAGGGGGGUAACUACUGGAAACGGUAGCUAUACCGCAUAACGUCGCAAGACCAAAGAGGGGGACCUUCGGGCCUCUUGCCAUCGGAUGUGCCCAGAUGGGAUUAGCUAGUAGGUGGGGUAAUGGCUCACCUAGGCGACGAUCCCUAGCUGGUCUGAGAGGAUGACCAGCCACACUGGAACUGAGACACGGUCCAG
rnacentral:rRNA from 1 species